CACUGGUUCCGUCUCUCUCUCUCUUCCCCCGAUUGCCAUUCCGAUUCCGUCGAUAGAGCUGCAGCAAUCUCUGUAGGGGAUUGGCUUCGCCGCAUUGCGCUCCUGCCUGAUGGAUCUCGCUCCCCGUCUGGCGAUUCGCACCGGCGCGCUCCAGCCUGCGAUCUGUAAGUGUUCCCCCGAUCUCGCGCCUUUCCUUGUUUUUUUUUUUUCCUUUUGUAUCCUCGUUUGAGGAUUGUCGCAUGAGGAAUUCAAUCUCUCACCGCCGUUAGAAUUCGCCAACGGCUUGUAGAAUUUCGGUGGAAUUCCGUGCUCGGUUCUUGAGUCGCUGCCUCUCUACGUUUUUAUUUUUGUUUUUGUUUUUGUUUCUUUAUUCGGCCCUCUAAAAAAUUGCCGUCGCCCUUGUCGCUGCCCCUCUGCUGUGAGUGCUUGUGUGUGGGAGAUUAUAUGAGGUUCCACGGUGUCGGUGCAUUUGUGUCGACUGGCAUGCUCUAUGACUUGCUUAACAAAAACAACUCCUUGUCCUUUUUUUCUGUACUUAGUGGUGACACUAUCUUCUCAUUGAGGGUGAAAAAUUCCAUUCAAUGAACUGAAAAUAUGAACUUGUGAGGAGAGAGACACAAACGGCGUGAGACUAGGUGCUGCUUGCCGUCUAGGCAGUUCUUAGUUAGGUCACUACUGCCAUGCUUGUGAAAUACUUGAUUGCUGAUUCCAAGUCACUCGACAUUGAGGAUGGUCUUGAUGGAUUAUGAACAACUUAGAGAAUUUAUCUGGAAUGGUGUCUCUACCAUUUUUCCUUGAUGUGGUUUCUAUGAAACUAAGAUUUGCAAGUUAAAUCUUUUCCACUAGCAACGAGGGAGUCCAUUGAGCUAUGGUAUUCUUUGGCAUUGGUAAAUCUUUUCUUGCUAUACAUACUGGCAUUUGCAUCAGAAAGAUUACUGUAAAUGAUUAUUUUUUAACGAUUGCCUGGUUGAGAAGGGCAAUCUUUGCAAAUCUUGUACAUUCCCUCUUCCAUGUUGCGUCAUACUAACAUUUUCCUUCUUAAUACUCUUUCACAAGCUUCAGCUAUGACUGAGUUUAGAUAUCAAUGUCUUUAAUCGGUCAUUCAAUGGAGAUUAUACUAUAUUUACUUAAUCUACAGUGUUAAUCUGAAUACUAACUUCGAGCUUCCAGCAUAGGAAUGUUAUUUAAUAUUUAUAUUGCCUACUAUUGCCUUCCAUUGCCUUCCAUUUCUUAUAUAAACUGUGAUUUAGAAAGUGAUAUUAUUUUUGUCCUAUGUAACCAAAGGAUGAAUCUGCCCACUGCAGCUUAGGAUUUACGAGAAGGAUGGGAAGGCCACUUCCGGUUGGAAAUCAUCAGCAAUAACAAAAUAUGUAGUGGAAUGACACACCAAAAGUUCUCUAUGUACUCCAUGUUCACAUUGUCAGAAACAUAGACUAUUUUGUGAAAUUUGCAGCUUGUCCAUCCCUCUUUUAAUGAGUUUAUCAAUUUUCAAAUAUGUUGCUGCUGUUUCCGUUGUUCCUGUUCUGUCGAUUUAGGAAUUAAAAAAAAAAAGGUUCUUAUUG
rnacentral:lncRNA from 1 species